rnacentral:sRNA from 2 species
CGCCCUGUCAUUGGGGAGUAGCCUCCUUCCGCUCGAGAAGGGGACGCAUCAACAGACUUGGCCGACCGGCCAUGGUGCGUCCGACCGCUGGGUUUGGCGAGACCUUUGACGUGGUGCCCCGAGCCGGGUUGGGCGGGGGCAUUGCGUCAUCGGUAAUCCACCGCCCGA